rnacentral:rRNA from 1 species
AAACUUUACAAUGCUGGCAACAGCGAUAAGGGAACCUCGAGUGCCAGGUUACAAAUCUGGCUGUCGAGAUGCCUAAAAAGCAUUUCAUAGCAAGGGCCGGGCAAGACCGGUGCCAGCCGCCGCGGUAACACCGGCGGCUCGAGUGGUAACCGUUAUUAUUGGGUCUAAAGGGUCUGUAGCCGGCCGGAUAAGUCUCUUGAGAAAUCUGGCAGCUUAACUGUCAGGCUUUCAGGAGAUACUGUCUGGCUCGAGGCCGGGAGAGGUGAGAGGUACUUCAGGGGUAGGGGUGAAACCUUGUAAUCCUUGAAGGACCACCAGUGGCGAAGGCGUCUCACCAGAACGGACCUGACGGCAAGGGACGAAAGCUAGGGGCACGAACCGGAUUAGAUACCCGGGUAGUCCUAGCCGUAAACGAUACUCGCUAGGUGUCGGCCACGGUGCGACCGUUGUCGGUGCCGUAGGGAAGCCGUGAAGCGAGCCACCUGGGAAGUACGGCCGCAAGGCUGAAACUUAAAGGAAUUGGCGGGGGAGCACCACAACGGGUGGAGCUUGCGGUUU